rnacentral:lncRNA from 1 species
ACAGUCUGCUGAGACAUAUAGAAGAAGACCACUCUGCUGGGACACUCCACAGUCUGCUGAGACAUAUAGAAGAAGACCACUCUGCUGGGACACUCCACAGUCUGCUGAGACAUAUAGAAGAAGACCACUCUGUUAGGACACUACACAGUCUGCUGAGACAUAUAGAAGAAGACCACUCUGUUAGGACACUCCACAGUCUGCUGAGACAUAUAGAAGAAGACCACUCUGUUAGGACACUCCACAGUCUGCUGAGACAUAUAGAAGAAGACCACUCUGUUAGGACACUCCACAGUCUGCUGAGACAUAUAGAAGAAGACCACUCUGCUGGGACACUCCACAGUCUGCUGAGACAUAUAGAAGAAGACCACUCUGUUGGGACACUCCACAGUCUGCUGAGACAUAUAGAACCACUCUGUUGGGACACUCCACAGUCUGCUGAGACAUAUAGAAGAAGACCACUCUGUUGGGACACUCCACAGUCUGCUGGGACAUAUAGAACCACUCUGUUGGGACACUCCACAGUCUGCUGAGACAUAUAGAAGAAGACCACUCUGUUAGGACACUACACAGUCUGCUGAGACAUAUAGAAGAAGACCACUCUGUUAGGACACUCCACAGUCUGCUGAGACAUAUAGAAGAAGACCACUCUGUUAGGACACUCCACAGUCUGCUGAGACAUAUAGAAGAAGACCACUCUGUUAGGACACUCCACAGUCUGCUGAGACAUAUAGAAGAAGACCACUCUGCUGGGACACUCCACAGUCUGCUGAGACAUAUAGAAGAAGACCACUCUGUUGGGACACUCCACAGUCUGCUGAGACAUAUAGAACCACUCUGUUGGGACACUCCACAGUCUGCUGAGACAUAUAGAAGAAGACCACUCUGUUGGGACACUCCACAGUCUGCUGGGACAUAUAGAAGAAGACCACUCUGUUAGGACACUCCACAGUCUGCUGAGACAUAUAGAACCACUCUGCUGGGACACUCCACAGUCUGCUGAGACAUAUAGAAGAAGACCACUCUGUUAGGACACUCCACAGUCUGCUGAGACAUAUAGAAGAAGACCACUCUGCUGGGACACUCCACAGUCUGCUGAGACAUAUAGAAGAAGACCACUCUGUUGGGACACUCCACAGUCUGCUGAGACAUAUAGAAGAAGACCACUCUGCUGGGACACUCCACAGUCUGCUGAGACAUAUAGAAGAAGACCACUCUGUUGGGACACUCCACAGUCUGCUGAGACAUAUAGAAGAAGACCACUCUGUUGGGACACUCCACAGUCUGCUGAGACAUAUAGAAGAAGACCACUCUGUUGGGACACUCCACAGUCUGCUGAGACAUAUAGAAGAAGACCACUCUGUUGGGACACUCCACAGUCUGCUGAGACAUAUAGAAGAAGACCACUCUGUUAGGACACUACACAGUCUGCUGAGACAUAUAGAAGAAGACCACUCUGUUAGGACACUCCACAGUCUGCUGAGACAUAUAGAAGAAGACCACUCUGUUAGGACACUCCACAGUCUGCUGAGACAUAUAGAAGAAGACCACUCUGUUAGGACACUCCACAGUCUGCUGAGACAUAUAGAAGAAGACCACUCUGCUGGGACACUCCACAGUCUGCUGAGACAUAUCGAAGAAGACCACUCUGUUAGGACACUCCACAGUCUGCUGAGACAUAUAGAAGAAGACCACUCUGUUAGGACACUCCACAGUCUGCUGAGACAUAUAGAACCACUCUGUUGGGACACUCCACAGUCUGCUGAGACAUAUAGAAGAAGACCACUCUGCUGGGACACUCCACAGUCUGCUGAGACAUUUAGAAGAAGACCACUCUGCUGGGACACUCCACAGUCUGCUGAGACAUAUAGAACCACUCUGUUGGGACACUCCACAGUCUGCUGAGACAUAUAGAACCACUCUGUUGGGACACUCCACAGUCUGCUGAGACAUAUAGAAGAAGACCACUCUGUUGGGACACUCCACAGUCUGCUGGGACAUAUAGAAGAAGACCACUCUGUUAGGACACUCCACAGUCUGCUGAGACAUAUAGAACCACUCUGCUGGGACACUCCACAGUCUGCUGACACAUAUAGAAGAAGACCACUCUGUUAGGACACUCCACAGUCUGCUGAGACAUAGAAGAAGACCACUCUGCUGGGACACUCCACAGUCUGCUGAGACAUAUAGAAGAAGACCACUCUGUUGGGACACUCCACAGUCUGCUGAGACAUAUAGAAGAAGACCACUCUGCUGGGACACUCCACAGUCUGCUGAGACAUAUAGAAGAAGACCACUCUGUUGGGACACUCCACAGUCUGCUGAGACAUAUAGAAGAAGACCACUCUGUUGGGACACUCCACAGUCUGCUGAGACAUAUAGAAGAAGACCACUCUGUUAGGACACUCCACAGUCUGCUGAGACAUAUAGAAGAAGACCACUCUGUUAGGACACUCCACAGUCUGCUGAG